rnacentral:rRNA from 1 species
CCUACGGGUGGCAGCAGUGGGGAAUAUUGCACAAUGGGGGAAACCCUGAUGCAGCGACGCCGCGUGAGUGAAGAAGUAUUUCGGUAUGUAAAGCUCUAUCAGCAGGGAAGAAAAUGACGGUACCUGACUAAGAAGCCCCGGCUAACUACGUGCCAGCAGCCGCGGUAAUACGUAGGGGGCAAGCGUUAUCCGGAUUUACUGGGUGUAAAGGGAGCGUAGACGGCAGCGCAAGUCUGAAGUGAAAUCCCCUGGCUUAACCAUGGAACUGCGUUGGAAACUGGGCAGCUGGAGUGCAGGAGAGGUAAGCGGAAUUCCUAGUGUAGCGGUGAAAUGCGUAGAUAUUAGGAGGAACACCAGUGGCGAAGGCGGCUUACUGGACUGUAACUGACGUUGAGGCUCGAAAGCGUGGGGAGCAAACAGGAUUAGAUACCCGUGUAGUC